AGCGAACGCUGGCGGCAGGCCUAACACAUGCAAGUCGAACGAAUCUUUCGGGGUUAGUGGCGGACGGGUGAGUAACACGUGGGAACGUGCCUUUAGGUUCGGAAUAACUCAGGGAAACUUGUGCUAAUACCGAAUGUGCCCUUCGGGGGAAAGAUCUAUCGCCUUUAGAGCGGCCCGCGUCUGAUUAGCUAGUUGGUUGAGGUAAUGGCUCACCAAGGCGACGAUCAGUAGCUGGUCUGAGAGGAUGAUCAGCCACAUUGGGACUGAGACACGGCCCAAACUCCUACGGGAGGCAGCAGUGGGGAAUCUUGCGCAAUGGGCGAAAGCCUGACGCAGCCAUGCCGCGUGAAUGAUGAAGGUCUUAGGAUUGUAAAAUUCUUUCACCGGGGACGAUAAUGACGGUACCCGGAGAAGAAGCCCCGGCUAACUUCGUG
rnacentral:rRNA from 1 species